UUUAAAAUAUGGCACCCUCUAAACUUGUAAUCAUGCUCGUGAUUUUUCUUUUCUCUCUACCCUAUAUUGUUGAAUGCGACCUGAUGAAUGAGAGCUCCAAGAAGAUGUUUAAAGCUGAUUAUGUUAACAAAAAAUUUAACAUCGGAUUCUGCUUACCUCAAAUUUGUUUCGGUAAAAUUUCGACAGAUAUCCACUUUCGCAUUUGUUGGUGCUGUAUUGGAGGAGCUAGUCCGGAUUGCGUCAAAUCAAAAUCAACUUGUAAUCAUAUUUGUAAUUUGUAGUACUAUUUCGGCACAACUUCUUAAAAGAAUAUAAUAAAAUCUACGUUGAGAGUUUAAAUAUA